CAGGCCCCUGAGGCCGCCCGCACAUGCGCAGUGCUGUGUGCCGACCCUGGGGAGAAGCCAAGGCCGCCGAGGGGCCGAGUAAGCGGCCCAGGGUGUCAGCCAGGCGGCUCUAGAUCGGCCCGUGGCCGCUCGGGCCCGCACACCUUUCCCUACACCCGUCCCGGCUCCGCACUCACUUGUAGCCCACGUCACACCAGUUCAGCGUCCUCGAAUGGGCUGCAACAGGAUGCGGUGGGGGCCCGGGUCUCAUCUCUCUUCCUCCCGGAGGGACUGAGGUACAAAAGCCAUGCAUCAGAGCAUCAUCCUUGACCAAACUCUACCGUGUCCCCUCUUGUGUUGAGUACCCCAGCCCAUAGCAGGCGCCGAAUAUAUACUGAAUGACUGGUAAGUAUCCAGCUCACUCCCUGGUCAUGUUGCUGUUAUCGCCCAAAUAUCUUAUGAAUCAGACCACCCUGGUUUAUUUCCACUCUCCCCACCUGGGUCCAGUCACCGUCUCCUUGCACCUGGAUUUUCUCCCACCCCCUCGGUGACUUUCCAGCAUGCACCUUGGCCCCCAUGAGGCCGAAGCUCAGAUCUGAUCAAGCGACCCUCAAACGUGAGUCACCUUUUUCUGUGGCUUCUCACGACUCUUAGGAUGGACCCCAAGCCCUUCGCCACGGCCUGCCUUCAACCUAGUCUCACCCGACUCACUCCUGAGGCCCUCUUCCCCUAGCUUCCCUGCUUUUUGCCGCCCUUGAGGAUGCUUUGACUACCCUGUCCCCAGGGGACUUUCUCCGCACUGUGUGCAAGCUUUAUUUAUUUAUUUAUUUAUUUAUUUAUUUACAUUUUGAGAGAGAGAGAGUCUGAGAGCAGGGGAGAGGGGGAGAGGGGCAGAGAGAGAAUCUUAAGCAGGCUCCACACUCAGCACGGAGCCUGACAUGGGGCUCGAUCCCACGACCCUGGGAUUGUGACCUGAGCCAAAAUCAAGAGGCAGACACUCAACCAACUGAGUCACCCAGGAGCCCCUGUACAAGUCCUAAAUGGGGAACCUUAAGAAAUUCAGGAACUUUGUACCUUACCUUUAAGAUUACAAAACAUGAGGGCGCCUUUUGUAAAAAGGCAGGAAUAUGUACACAUCGGAUUGCUUACUAAGAAUGUAGUCUUUAGCCGGGUAGUGUGAAGUAUUCCUGUGUUAGAAUUUUAUUUAUUCUGUAUCUUGUCAGCCUAAGAGUGGGACAUGCAUGCCCUUGUGAGCAUUUACAAGAGCCUCAAUGGGUAAUUGUUACAUUACCCCUAAUCCUGAGAACUGUAUUACUAGGGUAUUUUUAAAAUAGGAAAUUAAGGGGCGCCUGGGUGGCGCAGUCAGUUAAGCGU